rnacentral:pre_miRNA from 1 species
AAUAAGUGCAGUUUUACACUAUUCACGUUCAACGUUUGACCGUCCGUCUUAUUUGAAAAAUUUAUGAAAAAAUUAAAAACAUUUAGUCACACAUAAAGUACUAUUCAUGUUUUAUCAUCUAAUAGCAAUAAAAAUACCAAUUAUAAAAAAUUUUCAAAUAAGACGGACGGUCAAACGUUGAACAUAAAUAGUAGAAAACUGCACUUAUU